rnacentral:rRNA from 1 species
UACGUAGGGUGCAAGCGUUGUCCGGAAUUAUUGGGCGUAAAGAGCUCGUAGGCGGUCUGUCGCGUCGGCUGUGAAAACUCGGGGCUCAACCCCGAGCCUGCAGUCGAUACGGGCAGACUAGAGUGCUGUAGGGGAGACUGGAAUUCCCGGUGUAGCGGUGAAAUGCGCAGAUAUCAGGAGGAACACCGGUGGCGAAGGCGGUUCUCUGGGAAUAUCCUGACGCUGAGGAGCGAAAGUGUGGGGAGCGAACAGG